AGAUAGUAUAGUGGCUAGUAUCCCCGCCUGUCACGCGGGAGACCCGGGUUCAAUUCCCGGUC
rnacentral:tRNA from 1 species